rnacentral:rRNA from 1 species
GACGAAGGGGGCUAGCGUUGCUCGGAAUCACUGGGCGUAAAGGGUGCGUAGGCGGGUCUUUAAGUCAGGGGGGAAAUCCUGGAGCUCAACUCCAGAACUGCCUUUGAUACUGAGGAUCUUGAGUACGGGAGAGGUGAGUGGAACUGCGAGUGUAGAGGUGAAAUUCGUAGAUAUUCGCAAGAACACCAGUGGCGAAGGCGGCUCACUGGCCCGUAACUGACGCUGAGGCACGAAAGCGUGGGGAGCAAACAGG